ensembl:lncRNA
GUACUUAUCGUCAGAGUAGGGGGUGUUAACCCCGGUGUCCUGACUCUCUGAGGUCAUUAAAGAUCCCAUGGUACUUAUCGUCAGAGUAGGGGGUGUUAACCCCGGUGUCCUGACUCUCUGAGGUCAUUAAAGAUCCCAUGGUACUUAUCGUCAGAGUAGGGGGUGUUAACCCCGGUGUCCUGACUCUCUGAGGUCAUUAAAGAUCCCAUGGUACUUAUCGUCAGAGUAGGGGGUGUUAACCCCGGUGUCCUGACUCUCUGAGGUCAUUAAAGAUCCCAUGGUACUUAUCGUCAGAGUAGGGGGUGUUAACCCCGGUGUCCUGACUCUCUGAGGUCAUUAAAGAUCCCAUGGUACUUAUCGUCAGAGUAGGGGGUGUUAACCCCGGUGUCCUGACUCUCUGAGGUCAUUAAAGAUCCCAUGGUACUUAUCGUAAGAGUAGGGGGUGUUAACCCCGGUGUCCUGACUCUCUGAGGUCAUUAAAGAUCCCAUGGUACUUAUCGUCAGAGUUAGGGGUGUUAACCCCGGUGUCCUGACUCUCUGAGGUCAUUAAAGAUCCCAUGGCACUUAUCAUAAGAGUAGGGGUGUUAACCCCGGUGUCCUGACUCUCUGAGGUCAUUAAAGAUCCCAUGGCACUUAUCGUAAGAGUAGGGGUGUUAACCCCGGUGUCCUGGCUAAAUUCCCAAUCUGACCCUCAAACCAUCACGGUCACCUAAUAAUCCCCAGUUUACAAUUGGCUCUUUCAUCCCCCUCCUCUCCCCUGUAACUAUUCCCCAGGUUGUUGCUGUAAAUGAGAACGUGUUCUCAGUCAACUUACCUGGUAAAAUAACGGAUAAAUAAAAAAUAAAAAUAAAAAUCUGAAGCCUGUAUUCAUAGUGUGCAUCCCAAAUGGCACCCUAGUCAAUACAGUGCACUACUAUUUAUUUAUUUAUUUAUUUCACCUUUAUUUAACCAGGUAGGCAAGUUGAGAACAAGUUCUCAUUUACAACUGCGACCUGGCCAAGAUAAAGCAAAGCAGUUCGACAGAUACAACGACACAGAGUUACACAUGGAGUAAAACAAACAUACAGUCAAUAAUACAGUAUAAACAAGUCUAUAUACGAUGUGAGCAAAUGAGGUGAGAAGGGAGGUAAAGGCAAAAAAAGGCCAUGGUGGCAAAGUAAAUACAAUAUAGCAAGUAAAACACUGGAAUGGUAGAUUUGCAAUGGAAGAAUGUGCAAAGUAGAAAUAAAAAUAAUGGGGUCCAAAGGAGCAAAAUAAAUAAAUAAAUAAAAAUUAAAUACAGUUGGGAAAGAGGUAGUUGUUUGGGCUAAAUUAUAGGUGGGCUAUGUACAGGUGCAGUAAUCUGUGAGCUGCUCUGACAGUUGGUGCUUAAAGCUAGUGAGGGAGAUAAGUGUUUCCAGUUUCAGAGAUUUUUGUAGUUCGUUCCAGUCAUUGGCAGCAGAGAACUGGAAGGAGAGGCGGCCAAAGAAAGAAUUGGUUUUGGGGGUGACUAGAGAGAUAUACCUGCUGGAGCGUGUGCUACAGGUGGGAGAUGCUAUGGUGACCAGCGAGCUGAGAUAAGGGGGGACUUUACCUAGCAGGGUCUUGUAGAUGACAUGGAGCCAGUGGGUUUGGCGACGAGUAUGAAGCGAGGGCCAGCCAACGAGAGCGUACAGGUCGCAAUGGUGGGUAGUAUAUGGGGCUUUGGUGACAAAACGGAUUGCACUGUGAUAGACUGCAUCCAAUUUGUUGAGUAGGGUAUUGGAGGCUAUUUUGUAAAUGACAUCGCCAAAGUCGAGGAUUGGUAGGAUUUUACAAGGGUAUGGGGUAUGUUUGGCAGCAUGAGUGAAGGAUGCUUUGUUGCGAAAUAGGAAGCCAAUUCUAGAUUUAACUUUGGAUUGGAGAUGUUUGAUAUGGGUCUGGAAGGAGAGUUUACAGUCUAACCAGACACCUAAGUAUUUGUAGUUGUCCACGUAUUCUAAGUCAGAGCCGUCCAGAGUAGUGAUGUUGGACAGGCUGGUAGGUGCAGGUAGCGAUCGGUUGAAGAGCAUGCAUUUAGUUUUACUUGUAUUUAAGAGCAAUUGGAGGCCACGGAAGGAGAGUUGUAUGGCAUUGAAGCUUGCCUGGAGGGUUGUUAACACAGUGUCCAAAGAAGGGCCGGAAGUAUACAGAAUGGUGUCAAAAGUACACUUGGGCAAAAGUACUACACUAUAUUAGGAAUAGGAUGUCAUUUGGGACAGAGACGAUGUAUCAAUAAGAGAUCUCCGUGCUUCUACACCUGCAUUGCUUGCUGUUUGGGGUUUUAGGCUGGGUUUCUGUACAGCACAUUGUGACAUCAUCUGAUGUAAGAAGUAAAUACAUUUGAUUUGAUUUGAUUUGAUUCUAAAAUGGUGAACUGUUCUCCCAUCCCAUCUAGCAAGAUGCUUUCUGCAUAUAAUGUUAUCAUUCUGCGUGGCAUUCCAAGUGGCGCCCUAAUUAGGUUUCUGUUUGGGACGUAAACAUUAUCCUGGUCAUUGUGUCCCCACAUCAUUUUGGGGAUAUUGUACGUUGUGUAUAAACCUUUCGUUGUAAUGGUGCAGUACUUUAUUUCAAUGGACAGACAUAAUAGUUUGUUUUUCUAGAUAUUUAAAUUCAUAUCAUAUCUUUGAUAUUUUUUAAAGUUGACAAAUGUUAUGUGUAAAAUGAUGAUUAUUCUAAUAGUUUAUUAAUAAUUUUGUGUUUUGCUAUAUGGUUAAAAGCAGAUGGUCACAUUAUUACUAAAACCUUGUUUUCUAAUGAUUUAGUAGCAGAGUUGGGCUCAAUUCCAUUUCGAUUCCAGUCAAUUCAGAAAGUUAAACCAAAUUCCAAUUCCGAAUUGGAACGGAAGACGAUUGGAAUUGGAAUUUCAGUUUACUUCCUGAAUUGACUGGAAUUGAAAUGGAAUUGAUCCCAAACCUGUUUAGUAGUUAGUUACUACUGAGAGUUGACCUCUGUGUUUUUCCCUGUUAAGUUCAGCAGUUCUACUGGCGAUAUUUGUUUCUAGAACGUUUUUUAAAUUCUGUGUAAUUAAUGAAUGCUUCAGCACAUAUUAAAUGGCAAAUACUAUUUGAA